CAGCCGCCGCGGUAAUACGAAGGGGGCUAGCGUUGCUCGGAAUGACUGGGCGUAAAGGGCGCGUAGGCGGCGAUCAAAGUCAGGCGUGAAAUUCCUGGGCUCAACCUGGGGGCUGCGCUUGAUACUUGGUUGCUUGAGUGGGGAAGAGGGUCGUGGAAUUCCCAGUGUAGAGGUGAAAUUCGUAGAUAUUGGGAAGAACACCGGUGGCGAAGGCGGCGACCUGGUCCUUGACUGACGCUGAGGCGCGAAAGCGUGGGGAGCAAACAGGAUUAGAUACCCCCGUAGUCCCUGUCUCUUAUAC
rnacentral:rRNA from 1 species